AUAUGGGCCCGCCCACUCUCACAGGAUGAAGAGGGAGAGAGAACUGAAGAGGCUCUGCUCAGCUGUGGGGCCACAGAAGGCAGGAUCAGUGAUGACUUGCACCAUGGCCUGGUCCCCUCUCCUUCUCACGCUCCUUGUUCACUGCACAGGGUCCUGGGCCCAGUCUGUGCUGACUCAGCCACCCUCCGUGUCUGGGACCCUGGGUGGGAGGGUCACCAUCUCCUGCACUGGAAGCAGCAACAAUAUUGGAGGUUAUGAUGUAAGCUGGCAACAACAGCUCCCAGGAACAGCCCCCAGAACCAUUAUCUAUGCUAAUACCAAUCGACCUUCAGGGGUUCCAGAUCGAUUCUCUGGCUCCAAGUCUGGCAGCACUGCUACCCUGACCAUCACUGGACUCCAGGCUGAGGACGAGGUCGAGUAUUACUGUGCAACAUGGGACAGUAGUCUCAGAGCUCCUGUGUCCCCGCAGCAGCAUGGGGAAUCAGUUCUGACUCACUCCCUCCUUCCUGCCUCACUUUCUACCCCAAGGCAUCCUUGCCCAGGCUGGUGCUCAGACUGA